CUCUGGAGGUCUUGAAUAGCGACUCUGCAGCCACAUUCUCCUCCAUCCUGUUCCAUGGACCUUCUCACUGGACGAGAGAGAGCCCAUGCAGCCCCCCACUGAAGAUGGUGAUGAAGGUGACCCAAGAUGGAGGCGCCAGCUUUCAGUGGUGGAGUAUCAGGUCAGAUGGGGGGAACCGAUCAAUGGCAUUGGAGGAUGAGUUCAGAGAUGAGCUCUGUGGUGUGCAAUGUGUGACUGUCAGCUGACUUCAGAGCCUGUAUGAAGUUCUUGGGUGCAGGCAGGCUACUGUGCACAGGGGACUAUCUCCACUGCUGCAGAGUCCCAACAUGGCAGUGACUGGGAGGAGCCCCACGUUGGUAGAUGAGGGUCCACACAGGAGUGGCUGCCAGAAUUCCUGUGUGUGGGAAGCUGCCAGGUGUCUUGCAUGGGAGUGGCAUCGGUGAUUUCUGUUCAGGUGGGUAACCAAACGUUCUGUGUGGGUGCUGAAGGUCCCACUUGGGUGCCCAGUAAUCAAGUCCUGUGUGGGUGAGUAGUUGGGGGACCUACUCUGAUACUGGGGCCUGGAGCUCUGGGCUUACACUGACAUCGUUCUGAGAAGCUCAGAAGGAGACCCCACUAAAUUAGGACAGUCAAUAUUUAGUGAACCCACGUGAGUAGGUUCACCUCUGAUACUGUAGAAUUGUAGAGCCACCAGCAUAUGACUGCAACCCAUGAGAGCUUUGGUAUGAGCCUCACUGGGAAAAGCUGUGGGAAAGAGGACACCUGAAGCAUUGGGGAUUUAAAGAAACAAAAUUAGUUUGAAUAUGAAAAUAUAUUUUCAUAUGUAAAUAGUAAACAAAGAGAGAUGGUUAUAUUUGUCCUAUUUCUCCCCACUUUUCCCUCUUUUUUAAGUUUAAAUUUUGUUCAUUUUUUUAUUGUACAUUUUUUCGUUUUGCAUAAUUAUGUGUGUUGGGAUAUGUGUUUAUGUGUGAGUCUUCUCACUGGCAUGGAGAGGUUUGAAUGUAUGUGGUGUCUAUUUUAUACAUAACAUAUUCAUAUAAUUUUCUUUCAUUUUGAUUUCUGUCUUCUUCAUGCAUUUAUCAUUUAGCCGUGGCCUUGGUUUGACUUUGGUGAGGUAAAAUUUUGCAUGAGUUGGUUUGUUAUAAUAUUUAUAUUUGUUUGUUCAUAUAUUGGUUUUUGUUUCUCUUAUUUCCCCUUCUUCACUCUCUUCCCCCACUAAUAACCAAAUUUUCCUCUUCCCUCUUUCACUCUUUUAAAAUUACUUUUAGUUAUUUCUUCCUCCUCUCUCUUUUUAGCCAUCUUCUGCUAACUCCUGCUUCUCUUCUGUUAUCUUUUUAGAUAUUUCAAACUUUCUCUUGCCUUCCUGCAAUAUUUUUUUAUCACUUAAGGAAAUGUAAUUCCACUAUAUGAGAUAAUUAUAUAAUCUAUACCCCAUUCAUGUUGUGAUUGUGUACAACAUAACAGACACCUGUUGGUUAAUAUCUGAUCUAGUUCAUGAUUGCAUAUUAUUAGUGCUGGUAUUGAAUGUGACCCCACCAAUUAGUUUACACAUAGCAAUUAGUGUUAUAGAUGUCAAAAUAGACACCAAAUAUUUAUUUUAAGGAUGUGCAUUAGUUGCUAUAUUAAUGCUACUCCUUGUUCCCCCUUUCUCUGAGAGGGGCUGGGAAGUAAGAAAUUUCAAAUUCACAGAGUGGGGAUGCUGCUUCUGAGCAACACUCACAACUCAGCCAAGUAACAAUGACCCUCACUCCACAUAUGAACUUGUCCCACUAGAGCCCCAAUAAUACUUUAACAUAAAAUAGAGAAGAGAAAAACCCCAAACCAAUAACUAGGCUCCAAGUGGGAGUUAGCUAAAGGGAGGACCUCAGAUUCCACUUCUGCACAUUUACAGAAAAAUCAAAGAGAAGUACCUAGAGAAAAAAAGAUAAUUAUACACCAAAGGACACAUAUAUAAAAGAGGAAGAAGAAUCCAUCUCAACUUAUAUGCCUAUGUGCAAGCCCAAGAUCUCUGAAAACAUGAGGAAGCGGGCAAAUAAAUUUUGCCCCUAAAUUCACAGUUUCCCAAUAAAUGAAUCUGUGGAUAUGGAGGUGAAUGAAAUUGCAGAGACAAACUAUUAAAAAAUGAAUAUUUAAAUGUUCAGUGAACUAAAAGAAGACCUAAGGAAUAAAUUAAGAGAGCAAAUACAGGAGGAGAAAGUUCAUUUCAAUAAAGAAAUAGAUUGAAAAGAAACCAAUAAGAACUCCUGAAAAGGAAAGACACAAUUAAUUAAGAAAAGCAUCACCAGCAGAAAGGUUACCUAGAAAAUAGAACUUCAGGCUUUGUAGACAGGGUAUAUGAACUGGAAUACUCACUAUGCAACAAAUGAAAAAAAUUGAAAGACUAUGAUCGAAAUAUAUGAGAACUCUGGGAAAACAUCAAGAGUCCAAAUAUGAUUGUAACUGAUAUAGAACAGAACAUGGAGAUAAAAGUCAAAGGCAUUAAGAACCUCUUCAGUGAGACAGUGGCAGAAAAUUUCCCUCACCUCAAAAAUGAGAUAGACAUUCACAUACAGGAACAUAUAGAGUUUGAAAUAGAUGAGAUGGAAACAGAAUCUCUUCAAGACACAUCAGAAUCAAAAUGACUAACAUAGAAAAUAAGGAAAGAAUAUUAAAAGUUGCAAGAGAAAAACCAUCAGGUCACAUUUAGAGGCAGCCCAAUAAGCAUCACUUCUGACUUUAAAUUCAGACACUAAAAUCAAGGAGUGCCUGGAAUGAGAUAUUCCAAGCUCUAAAACAAAACAAUUGCCAACCAACAUUGUGAUAUCUAGUAAAGCUAUGUUUCAGAAUUGAUGAAGAGAUAAAAACUUUCCAUCAUAAGGAUAAACUAAAGAAUUCAUGACUACUAAGCCAGGACUACAAAGAAUACUUAGAUAUAUUACACACAGAAGAAUUCACAAACCCCAACGUUCCCAAAUGGUUGAAGCUUACUAGAAGAGCCACUAAUGGAAUGAAAAUCAAGACCAUAUUAAAUAUAGCAAACAAAAAUGGCAAGAAAUAAAAAAAAAAUCUAUCCAUAAUAACACUGAGUGUAAAUGGUUUCAACUCCCUAAUUAAGAGACAGAAAUGGGCAGAAUGUGUUUACAAAAAAAGUUGCAACAUUAUGCUGUUUGCCAAAGACUCUUCUCAUAGGCAAAGACACUCAUAGGCUGAAAGUAAAAAGAUGGAAAGAAAUAUUCCAUGCAAACAGAGUCCAAAUACAAGCAGGAAUAGCUUUUCUUAUGUCUGACACAUCAGAUUUUAAGCAAAUAUUAAUCACAACAGAUAAAAGUCGGUACAUACUGACAAAGGGAAUAAUCUAAAAUUAGAUAAAAUUAUAGCAAAUAUUUAUGCUCCAAAUGUCAGUGCAAUGAAUUAUAUUAAAAACAGUUCCUGACAUAAAAUCCCAAAUAUACCCCAAUAAACUAUGCUGGGUGAUUUCAACACACCCUUAUCACAAAUAGAUCAUUAAUACAAAAUCAAUACAGAUAUUUUCAACCUAAAUAAUUCUUUAAAUCAAAUUGACUUAACAGACAUGUACACAAUAUAUCACCCCCCAAAAAAGCUAAAUUUACUUUCUUCUCAGCAGCUCAUGGAACCUUUUCAAAAUAGACCAUAUUCUGUGUCACAAUGUAAAUCUUAACAAAUACCAAACAGAUGAUAUACCCCCAUGCAGCCUAUUGGAUCAUAAUGGAAUGAAACUAGGAAUAAAUAGCAGGAAAAAUAUAGAAACCACAGAAAAACAAAGAUCUAACAAUACUGUUUUAAAAGAUGAAUGGGUCGCAGAAGAAAGGAGAAAAUCAACAAACUUUUAGAAACAAAGGAGAACAUAGAUACAACAUAUCAAACUCUCUGGGACAGUAUAAAGUCAGUUAUAAGAGGAAAGUUUAUAGCAAUGAGUGUCCAUAUUAAAAAUAAUGAUCCCAAAUAAGUUACCUAGGGCUUCACCUCAAGGACUUAGAAGAAGAAGAAAAGCCAAAUGCCCUACACAGUAGAUGAUAGGAAAUAAUUAUGAUCAGAGCUGAAAUUAAUGAAAUUGAGAUAAAAAUAAUAUAAAUGAUCAAGGAAUAUAAAGGAUCCUAUAAAAAAGGACCAACGGUUCUUUGAGAAGAUACAAAUAAACAAAAUUAAAGAUGAAAAAGAUAUAUCACAAACAUUUUUGAAAUCCAGAGGCUCAUCAGAAACUAUUUUGAGAAUUUGUACUCCAUAAACUGUAAAAUCUAGAAGAAAUUGACAAUUUUUUAGACACAUGUUACUUGCCCAGAUUGAACCAGGAAGAUAAAGAAGACCUAAACAGAUCAAUAUCAAGCAAUGAAAAUGAAACAGCAAUUAAAACUCUUCCAAUAAAGAAAAACCCCAGGCCAGAUGGAGUCUCAAUUGAGUUCUAUCAGAACUUUAUAGAAGAACAAACAUCGGUCUUUCUCAAAUUAUUCCAUGAAAUUGAAAAGGAGGGAUCGCCCCCAAAUACAUUCUGUGAAAUCAUCAAAACCAGACAAAGACACAUCAAAGGGAAAAAAAAAAAACUACAGCCCAAUUUCCCUUAUGAACAUAACUAUAAAGAUACUUAAUCAAAUAUUAGCAAAUUGAUCCAAAAGCAUAUCAAAAAGAUAGUAUACCAUGAUUAAGUAUGUUUCAUCCCAGAGAUGCAAGUGUGGUUCAACAUAUGCAAAUCAAUAAAUGUCAUUCACAGUAUAAAUAGAAUUAAGAACAAUAAUCAUCCUAUUAUCUCAAUAGAUACUGAAAAGAUCUUUGAUAAAAUUUAGUACCCAUUUAUGUUAAAAUGUUAGAAUGUCUAGCAUAGAAGGAGCUUACCUCAACAUAAAGGCUAUAUAUGAUAAACCUAAAGCCAGGAUCAUACUGAAGGCAUUCUAAAAUUAAGAACAGCACAACUGUGUCCAUUAUCACCAGUCCUAUCCAAAAUAACCCUUGAAAUGCUAUCCAGAGUUAUUGGUCAAGAGAAGGAAAUUAAAAGGAUACAAAUAGGAAAAGAAAUGAAAUUAUCUCUGUUUGCUGGUGACAUAAUCCCAUAACUAGAAGACCCAAAAAACUCCACCAGAAGAUCUCUAGGGCUGAUAAAUGAAUUCAGAAAAUUAGCAGGAUGCAAGAUCAAUAUUCACAAAUAAGUAGAUUUCCUAUACUCUAAUAGUGAUCUGCUGAGAAAGAAAUCAGGAAAACUCUCCCAUUCAUGAUAAACUAAAAAACAAACAAACAAAUAAAUAAAAUGCAUGGGAAUUAAUCUAACCAAGGAGGUGAAAGACCUCUACAAUGAAAAAUAUAGAACACUGAAGAAAGAAAUUGAAGACCUCAGAAGACAGAAAGAUGUCCAAUCUUCUGGGAUAAGCAGAGUUGACAUUGUCAAACUGGCCAUAUUACCAAAAACAAUAUACAGUUUCAAUGCAAAGCCCAUCAAAAUACUGAGGACAUUCUUCACAGAACUGGGAAAAAAACAGUACUAAAAUUCAUUUAGAAGAAUAAAGACUCAGAAUUGUUAAUGCAAUUGUUAUGGUUUAGAUGUGAAGUGUCCCCCAAAAGUUCAUGUGUGAGACAGCUCAAGGUUUAGAGCCUUAACACAAUCUGUGAAUUAAACCCCUGAUGGGAUUAACUGAGUGGUGACUGUAGGCAGGUAGAGUGUGAAUGACGGAAGUGGGUUAUUCAGGUGUGCCUUUCAGUUUAUUUUAUUAAUGGAAAGGACAGUCCUUUCUGUCUCCUCUGAGGGUGCCAUAUUCCAACUGCUUUCAUCCACCACAUCUUGCAACCAUGGUGUUCUGCCUCUCCUUUAGCCCAGAGCAAUGAAGUUGGUAAUCUCUGAACUGACACCUCUGAAACUGUGACACCCCAAAUAAACAUUUACUCCUCUAAAAUUGUUCUUGUUGGGAAUUUUGGUCAAAGUGUAAAAAAAAAAGUUGACUAGAACAAAAAUCUUGAGCAAGAGGAGUGGUACUGGAAGCAUCACAGUAUUUGAUCUCAAAUUAUACUUCAGAGUUAUAGUAACAAAAACAGCAUGACAUUAACAUAAGAAUCAGAUAUGAAGACUAGUGGAAUAGAAUAAAAGACACAGAGACAAAUCCACAUAGAUACAGUAAUUUGAUACUUGACUAAAGUGCCAAAAAUAUACAGUAAAUUAAUUUUCAAUAGCCUUUUAAAUGAAUGGUGGUGAAAAAAUGGAUAUCCAUAUGUGGAUGAAUGAAACUAGAUCCCUAUCUCUUACCCUGCACAAAAGUCAAUGUGGAUCAAAGACUUAAGACUUAGACAAGAUUUUUGAAAUUGCUAGAAGAAACUAUAGGAUCAACACUCCAACAUAUUGGCACAGGUAGAGACUUCCUUAACAAGACUUGAAAACUCAAGAAAUAAUUCAAAGAAUCAAUAAGCAGAAUGGCAUCAAACUGAAAAGCUUCAAAUGUCAGAGAGAACCUACACAAUGUGAGAAAAUCUUUGAUAGCUACUUCUCUGACAUGGGAUUAAUAUUCGUAAUACAUGAAAAGCUCAAAAAGCUUAACAUCAAAAUAACAACAAUAAUAAAUAAAUAAAUAAAUACAAAAACAAAAACAAAAAACAAAAGCAGAUAGCCCAAUCAACAAAUGGCAAAAGAACUAAACAAACUAAACAGAAAUUUUUCAAGAACACAAAUAGCCAACAAAUAUAUGAAAAAAAAGUUCAAAGUUUCUAGCAAUUAGAGAAAUGCAAAUUAAAAUUACUAUAAGACUUCAUCUUAGUCCAGUAAGAAUGGAAGAAUAUGGUAAAAAGUAUUGGCAAAGAUUUGGAGAAAAAGAUACACUUAUAUAUUGUUGGUGGGACUGCAAAUUAGUACAACCACUCUAGAAAGCUAUAUGAAGAUUCCUCAAAAACCUAGGAAUGGAACCACUGUGUGACCCAACUAUCCCACUCCUUGCUAUUUAUUCAGAAGAACUAAAAUUAACAUACUAUAGUGAUAUAGCCACAUCAAUAUUUAUAUCUAUGGAACCACACAUAGAUGUAAUCCAUGCACAUUGAUGUAUAGAUUAAAAAAAUGUGGUAUAUGUGCACAAUGGAGCUUUACUGAGCCAUAAAGAAGAAUGAAAUUAUGGUAUUUUCUGGUAAAUAGGUAGAACUGGAGAACAUAGGCUAAGUGAAAUAAGCCGGACUCAGGAAAUCAAGGGUCACAUGUUUUAUCUCAUAUGCAGAAGGUAGAGCAAAGUAAGGGAAAAAAGGCCAGGUAGUUCAGCUAUCAUAAAGACAGAAGACCAGUGGGUUAAAGGAAAUGGAGAGAAAGGGGAGGAAAUACAGAAUGAUUUUGACAGAAGUACUCUGUGUGUGUAUAAAUACACCACAGUGAAUUCCACCUUUAUUUAAAUCAAUAAAGUACCAAUUAAAAAUAAAUAUGAUUGGAAAGUUGACUAGUAGAUUAGAGGAAGAAUAAUAAGUGAAGUGCAGAGGGGACGGAAAAGGGGGACACUGAGAACUGAAAUGGAGUAAAUUAAAUUCUAUGCAUGUGUGAUUAUGUCAAGAUGAAUUCAACAAUUUUAUAUAACUAUCAUUCACUAAUAAAAACAAAAUAGAAAAAGAGGGAUGGUUAUAAGUCAGUAAUAUACUGCUUAAGUCAGAAAUUGGUAAAAGAGACAAAGAAGGGUAUUAUAUAUCAAUGAAACUGUUAAUUCAUCAAAAGAUAUAAAAAUGAUAAGCCUAGGCUGAUGAAACAACAGAGCCUUAAUGUUACAUUUGAAGCAAACAUUGACACAUUGAAAGGAGAAAUAGUUCUAAAAUAAUAGUUGAAAAUUUAUUCCACCUUUAAUAAUGCAUAAAACAUCUAGAGAAAGGUAUGAUAAGGAAAUAAAAGGAAAUAAGGACUCAAAGAACACUAUAAAACAUCUAGACCAAAUAUGUCUAUAGAAAAUUCUACCUAACAUCAGAACACAUAUUCCUCCAGAGUGCACAUAAUGUUCUUUAAGAUAGACCACUUAUUAAGUCACAAAGCAUAUCUUAUUAAAUUUAAAGUGAUAAAAAUUAUACAAAGCAUCUUCUCAAAUGAGUAAAGCUAGAAAUUAAUGAACAGAAAAAGGGGAUAUGGAAUUCACAAAUGUAUGGGAAUUAAAUGACACACCCUUAAAUAAGCAAUGAGUCAAAGAAGAAAUCCAUGAUAGAAAUUAGAGUGUGUUCAGAGAUUAAUGAAAACAAACAAGAUACCGGAACAUAUGGGAGGCAGGUUAAGCAAUGAUUGGUAGGAAACUUGUAUUUUGAGUAAAUUUAAAAAAUAAUAAGAUUAGAAGCCAACUUUAUUCCAUAAGGAAUUAGAAAAAAAUAAUAACUAAACCAGAAUUUAACCGAAGGAUAAAGAAAUAGUAUAAUGGAGAUAUGAAAACAUUAGAGAAAAAUCAAUGAAAUCAAAAUUGACUCUGAAAUAAUAUCAACAAAUUUGACUAAGAAAAAUAAAUACCAGAAGACAUGCAAGUAUCUAAAUCAGAAAUGAAUUAUAUAAUUAAUGACCUUAUGGAUAUUAAAAGUAUUUUAUGAGAAUGAAAUAAGAGAAUGAAAAAAGCAAUUGCAUAGAUAAAGUAAAUAAAAUGCACAAAUUCCUAGAAACACACAAGUAAUCAAGUCUUACUGAAAAGACAAUAAGAAAUCUGAGUAGAACUAUCACAAGUAACUCAAUUUGUAACAUCACAGUCAAAGAAAAGUAUAGAUCAAUAUCCUUUAUGAAUGAAUUUGCAAAAAUCAACAAAGUAUUAGUAAGCCAACUCCAACAGCACAUUAAAAGAAUUAUAUAGUAUGACCAUAUGGGAUUUUCCCCAGGAAUUCAAAGGGUGAUUUGAAGUAAGAAAACAAUGUAAUAAAACACAUGAAUAAAAGGAAAGAACCUGCAUGCAGUGGUGCACACUUAUAAUCCUAAUGGCUUGGGAGGCUGAGGCAGGAGGAUUUAAAGUUCAAAGCCAGCUUCAGCAAUUCAGCAAGGCAACUUAGUGAAGGCCUGUCUCAAAAUAAGAAAUAAAAGAUCUGGGAAUGUGGCGCAGUGGGUAUGUGUGAAUACAAUUUACCUCUUUUCUAAUUUGGGUUUAUGUGCAUUGAAAGACUUAAUAUUAUUAAGAAGGCAAUACUACCCAAAGUGUUCUAUAAAUUUAAUGCAGUCUCCAUCAAAAUUCUAUCAUAUUAUUUUUUGCAGAAUUGAGAAAUAUCAAUCUUCAAAUUCAUAUGGAAUUGGGAGAUUUCCUGAAUAUUCAAACCAAAAUAAAAAUAUAAAAGUGGAAGCCCUCACAUUUUCUGGUUUCAAUGCUUAUCACUGGGCUAUGGUUCUAAUUACAGACAUAUGGACAGAUGUAAUUUAAUUAAGAAUCCAGAAAUAAACCCAUAUAUCUCUACCCAAUGGAUUUUUGACAAGGGUGUCAAUUAUUAAUUCAACUCUCAAUGGAUUAAUCCACUGAUGAGUUUAGAGCCCUCCUGAUCCAGUCAAUUCUUCAGUAAAAAUAUUCCUUUCAACUACUGAUUCUGACGCAAGGAAUAAAGACAGUGAUUACCUCACAUUAUACAAAAAUUUCCUCCAAAUGGGUUAGUGACCUAUCUAUAAGGGCCAAAAGUAUAAAACCCUUAAAUGAAAACAUGAGGGUAAAUUGUCAUGAUGUUGAAUUUGGCAAUUGAUUCUUUUUAAUAAGACACAAAAGUAUAAAAGAAAAAUUAAACAAAUCCGAUGACAUAAAAAUUUUAAACUUUUCCCCAUCAAAUAACAUUAUCAAGAAAAUAAAAAGGAAUAUAUACAAUGGGGAAAAUAUUUGUAAACUCUAUAUCUUAUAAAGAUUUAUUAUUCAGGAUACAUAAAGAAAUAUUAUAACUCAAUGCAAAAUGACACACAACUCAAAUUAAAAAUGGGCAAGUGAUUUGAAUAGUCUUCUCUGGAGAAGAUACAGAAAUGGCCAAUGUGCUUACAGUGUUGAACACAUGAUAAGAUGGUCAACAGCCUUAGUCAUCAAGGAAAUGCAAACCCAAACCAUGAUAAGAUACUACUUCACAUCGUCUAGUAUGGCUAUCAAAAAAGAAACAGGAAAAUAACUAAUAAUAAAAAUGUGAAGAAUUUUGAAUUCUUGUACAUUGCUGAUUGGAAUAUAAAAUAGUACAGCCACUAUGGAAAACAGUUUGUGAUACCUCAGAAAGGUAAACAUAUGAUCCAGCAAACUCACUUCUGGUUACAUUUCCCAAAGAAUUGAAAAUAGGUACUCAAAUAAAUAUUUGGUCAUGAAUAUUCAUGGUAUCACUGUUUGCAAUAGCUAAAAAGUGCACACAACCCUAAUGUCAUUCAGUGAAUGAAUAGACAAAUAUGGUAUAAGACAUAGAAUAGAAAGUUACACAGCUUAGAACAGAAUGAAGUAUUGAUGCAGACUUCAAAGUAGAUACACAUUGAAAACUAACCCAUAGUGCUAUGUGAAAAAAGAACAAAAAAUUUCACAUAUUAUGUGGCACUACUUAUUUUUAAAUAAAUAGCAUAAAUAAACAUGUGAAAUUAUAAAGUAGAUUUUUAUUUGCAAGAGGCUAGGACAAAGGGGAGAUGAAGGAAUGAUCACUUAAUGACUAUGGGGUUCUCUUUAGGGGUAAUGAAAAUGUCUUAGAACUAUAUAGAACUAGGUGGUUGUUAUGCAACACUGUGAAUGUAUUAAAUGUACUGAAUUACACACUUUCUUUGUUUCCUUGGUAAUGAGAUGUAACUACUUAAUAUAAACUUAAUAUCUUUUUUUUUUUUUCAUUCUGGGAAUCAAUCCCAGGGCUUUGAGCAUGUUAGGUGAGUGCUCUACUACUGAGUUCCAUCCAUAGCCCUUACAUUAUACACUUUAAAAUGAAUUAUUUAAAAACUGAUGAAUGAUUUUGUAACUGAGACAAAAAUGCCUGAUAAAUAUCUCAAAGGGGGAAAGAUUUAUUUUGGUGCAUGGUUUUGUAAGUUUCAGUUUAUGGUUGACUUACUCCAUUGCUUUGGGCUUGAGGGAAGGCAAGACAUCAUGGCAGAAUGGCAUGGCAAAGGAAAGCUGUUCAGGUCAUGUCAGCAGGGAACAGAAUGCAAGAAAGAGGGUGAGUGAAGGUGAGAGGGAAGAAAGGGUUGGGGACAAGAAAUACCUUUCUAGGACAUGUCCCCAGUGAUGCACUUCUUCCAACCAUAUCUCACCACCUACAGUUUCCACAGUAUUCCACUGAUUCAGCUAUCAAUGGAUUAAGCCAUGAUGAGUUUAAUUAGUGCCCUACCUCUGAACAUUGUUGCAUUGGGGGUCAAACUUUCAACACAAAAGACUUUAGGGAAUAUUUUAGACCCAACCCUAACUAUAACAUGAUCAACUACCUACUAUUGCAAAAAAAAAAAAAAAUUCUUUAGAAUACAAGAAGAACAGAAGUACACAAGAUCUUAAUGUCUGAGGCAAAGCACAGGGAAGGAACAAACUAUAGAAGAACUCACUUCUAGGGUUGAGACCCAGAUCUUGUUGGAGAGGGUAUGGCAGUGGCCCAUAGGAUCGUGGAGACAUUUUCUAUAGUACUACACUGGAGUUCGCUGAUGAUCUUCUACAAAGGUGAUGCAUUGGGAAGCUUCCCACCAGGAUUGUGUGCUAGGAAGCUGCCUUCUGAGAGAAGCUGCCCAUGAAGAAGUCUGUUGGCAGCUGCACACAGCAGGAGUUUACCAAAAGAAGACAAGAAGAUGGGUAUUUCUUUCUUUUCGGUCAUCCAAGAACUCUGCAUUACAAACUUAGCAUCAUGCCAGCUGGCAAAGAAAUAUUUACAAGGCCUGCCUCCAUUAUUGCAUAGCAGGAAGUAAAAGAAGAUUUUAAGCUGAAAGACAAUAAAUUGAUAAUUGGCACAAAAUUAUUCUCAUAAAGUGAUUUGAGAUAAAAUAGGUUACAUAAAAGUUUCUAACUGUGAUAAUAGCCUCCAAUAUUUAUUAAUGUGAUUACUUGGUUGUCAUCUUGGUUUGUGAUAUUACCUCCAAUUACUUGGGGGUUUAGAAAGAUAUAUUCCUUAGAAAGAAAAACGUUAGUUAAUUUUUAAAUUGGCAUAUUAAACUAUAAUGUUCAAUUGAAGGUAUUAGACUGAAAUAUAAUAAGUAAUUUAAUAAUAUUAUUAAUAAGACAUGCUUAUUGAUAAUGAAGGGCAUAAUCUGCCAUUUGGACUCUCAGGUGCUAAUCUGUGUUUUCAAGAAGAGCUUAUAAAAAGUUCCUAUACAAAUAGUAAGAGAAUAACUAGAUGUACUGAAAAGUAAACUAAAAUAAACAUUUCUAAAUUUUUAAAAAUAAAGCAGCCAGAUUCUGAUUGAGUCAAAUAAUCAUAACAUUAGCUAUUAUAACAAAUAAUAAAUGACACAAUUAUAGCAUCACUAUUAUAAAAGGAUUACCUUUUCUAGCAUUUUCUUAGAGCAAGGUAUAAUGUUUUAGGAAUACAUUAUUAUAAUAGAGCAUUGUGUAAAGGUUAUUAUUUUGUGGGAUAAAAAUUCCUGUCUCAACUUUGACAUUUGUUUUUGAAAAAUGGGCUUAACUUCAACAUUUAUAUAGCAGCAGGAGACCAUUAUCUUGUGACAACACUUCAUUGCAUUGACAUUAUCUGUUAAUUAUCUUUGCCACCAUUAAUUUUGAGCCUGGUAUGCUAUAUACGUUGGCUCUUACCAGUUGUGUGACUGCUCUUUCUUCCUUCACUGAUAAGAUCUGGAAAAGAUACAAACUUUAAUUAAAAAUGAAACCCAGGUAAAGGUUACACUUUCACAAAGAUUUCUGGAGAUACUUAUGAUCAGAUGGAGUAAUUCAAAAUAACCAUCAGGUAUUCAGAAUUGCCUCUGCUUUACAUUGUUUGUGUGUUGCAUGCUACAGUUCCUCUCUCCUCAAUAUAUUUAUCCUUUUCAAAUGACCUGUGACUGAACUCCAUAUAGUUCUUACCUAAACAUCUUCCACUUCAUGAGUAACCUCUGCAGGCAUUUAAUAAGCAAGUAUUCUGUAGAAAUAUAUUUGAGGAGUAAACAGGAGACCACAUCAAAAAUAGAGAAAAAGUGGGUAAGAGAGAUCUUUUCCCUGAUAAAGGAAGAGAUGCAUCUUUUCCAAACUGUCUAAAUAAAACAUACAUCAAUUUUAGAAUUAUCAUCUUGCUUCUGGCAGUCUCUGAUUUAACUUUGUCUUCUUGUCUUCACACAGAGAUUUUAUAAAGCCCCUCAACCUACUAGUUCAGACCCUUUGUUCCUUAGGAUAUACUAUCUCCUUUUUCCUGUUACUUUUUCCCUGCCAAUUACAGUUCAAAAAAUGUUAGGGAAAAAAAAACUGCAUCUCUGCUUAACAUAUACAGACUUUUAUUUGUUAUUAUCCCCUAAACAACACAGUAUAACAGCUACUUAUAUAUCAUUUACAUUAUAUUAAAUAUUAAAUUUAAUCUAGAGGUGAAUUAAUAUAUUAGGAUGAUAUGCACAGAUUUAUACAAUAAUGUAUGCCAUUUUAUAAUUUUACAUAAAGGGAUUGGGCUUGUGCAGAUUUUGGUAUGGUGGAGGGCAUAGUCCAUUCUCCACAGAUACUGAGGGAUGAAUGAAUGCUGAACUGUUCUGCUAUGUUUUUCCCUUCUUAACUGUGCCUUUUCCACUCCUCCCUGCCACAGAUUAUCAUUGUUGAUACUCCAGAUCUCAACUACUGGGCAAGGAACAUGGUUUUGAGCCCAUUCUUACCUUGCUAGUGUCUCACUGGCACUGAAUCCUGUCCUUAUUUUCAUGGGACUGUCUUUCUCACAGUUCUGUCUCAUCUUAGUUCAGAUGUCUUUUCUGAAAUUUGCAUUAUAUAAGGACCCUAUCUUAUUCAGCUUUCUUCCCCAUUCCCCAAUAAAUUACCUUUAAUCUGCAAUUUCUGAUUUAUAUUCUUUAUAACAUUUAAGACUCUCUGAAGUAAUAACAUUAUUAAAAAUAUUUGCUGAUUGAUUUCCAUGUCCCUCUGUUACAAUAUCAGUACCACAAAGGUGAUAAAGUUUUUCACUUGACUGCUCUAUUUCCACCACAGAGAAUUGUGCCUGCAUAUAAAAAUUCAAAAUAAUAUUUACCAAAUAUAUGAAUGAAUAAGCAUAACCUCUCCCAGUCCCGCUGAGGGCAAUGCUUCAGAUUUGGAGAUUUAUAUCUCUAGUGCAUGAUUUUAUUCCUUAAUAGUUAGUCCUUCCCAUUGGCUGAAGAUUCCCAGAGUUGGAUUUUUUCUAAUCAGCACUGACUAUGGUAAAUAUCGCUAGUAGACACAAUCCCAUCAGAGCCACAUGUGCAUAGUUUAUGUGUCUGUAAACACUUCUCAUCUUAACUGUGUUGGGACUUUUGCCUACUAGUAUACUACUACUACUAUUUGCUGAAAAAAGGCUUUUAUUAUCCAGUUCUGCUUUGGAAAAAUUCAGGAUGAAAGGCACUUGUAAUUGUUAUAAAAGACCUAGGAAACUAGACAUGUGUGUACUUGCAGAGUACUUGGAGAAAAAGCUGUAUGGUGGAAUGGAUCAAUUUAUUUCAUUUAUUGAUAUAGCACUUCAUGCACUAAGAUUUCCUUUUAUAAUCUUUCCUGUCCUAAAUUAGUACUCUUUGUCUUAUUCUAUUGUUAAACAUAUAUAAGCAAUGUAGAGUUAUAGAACAUUCAAUAUUUUAAGCUCAAUUCCUUUUCCACUAAGUAAUACCUGUUAGCAGUCCUAAAAACAAUAUUCUGAUUUUAUUUCCUAUUUUCUUUGUUUUUGAGCUGAAAGCUAGUUUGUUAAUAUCUCUAAGUAACUGUGGCCCUUGAAAGUUGUCUUUUAUAAGCCUUUACUGAGCAACUACCCACAGGUCUGAAGCAUCUCAGUCUGCUUAUUUACAAAGUCAAAUGUCCUGUACUGUAUAUGUUGUAGGAAAGUAAAUGUUGAAUGUGGUGUUGUAAGGUCAGUGUAAGAUUAUGGGAAGAAAUGAGAACAAGAUCUGGGGAUUUGCAUUUCUCUAAUUGCUGGUGAUGAUGAACAUGUUUUCAUGUAUUUGUUGAGUGAUUGUACAUCAUUUUCUGAGAAAUGUCUCUUCAGGUCCUUGGCCCAUUUAUUGAUUGGGUUAUUUGUUUUCUUUUGGUGUUUAGCUUUUUGAGUUCUUUAUAUACCCUAGAGAUUAGUCAUCUGAUGUGUGAGGGGUAAAGAUUUGCUCCCAAAAUGUAGGCUUCCUAUUCAUCUUACAGAUUGUUUCUUUUGCUAAGAAGAAACCACUCUAAGAUUUCAUCUCACUCCUGUCAGAAUGGCAGCUAUUAUGCAUACAGACAAUAAUAAGUGUUGGCGAGGAUGUGGGGGAAAAGGUACACUCAUACAUUGCUGGUGGGACUGCAAAUUUGUUCAGCCAAUAUAGAAAACAGUAUGGAGAUUUCUUGGAAAAUUGGAAAUGGAACCACCAUUUGACCCAGCUUUCCCUCUCCUUUGUCUAUACCCAAAAUACUUAAAAAACAGCAUACUACAGGGACAUAGCCACAUCAGUCUUUAUAGCAGCACAAUUCACAAUAGCUAAACUGUGGAACCAAAAGAUGAAUGGAUUAAAAAAUGUGGCAUAUAUACACCAUGUAAUAUUACUCAGCAAUAAAAGAAAAUAAAAUCAUGGCAUUUGCAGGUAAAUGGAUGGAGUUAGAGAAGAUAAUGCUAAGUGAAGUUAGCCAAUCCCAAAAAACCAAAUGCCAGAUGUUUUCUUUUAAAAUAAGGAGGCUGAUUCAUUGUGGGAUAGAGAGCAGGAGCAUGGGAGGAAUAGACAAACUCUAGAUUAGGGCAGAGGGCUUGGAGGGGAAGGGAGGGGGCAUGGGGUUAUUAAUGAUGGUGGAAUGUGGUGAUUAUUAUUAUCCAAAGUACAAGUAUGAAGACAAUAAUUGGUGUUAAUAUACUUUGUAUACAACCAGAGAUAUGAAAAAUUGUGCUCUCUAUACAUAAUAAGAAUUGUAAUGCCUUCCACUAUCAUAAAUAAAUAAUAAAAGAUCUGGGGAAAAAGUCUGUAAUACUUAAAGGUCCCAGGAAGAGGGCUAGUGUGUGUCAGUAGGGCCACCAGGGAUGCACCAGGUUUUGGUCAUGAGGCAGAAGACAAGAGUAGAGCAAUAGUCUAGGCCAUAGCCUUUUGGGAUUCCUAUGAGAAAGGCAAGGCAAGUCAGAACAAAGAAUUUGACAGUUUCCUGGCCUGAUCCUGAACUGACUAUGGGCAAGAGAAAUAAUGGUUUGGUGUGUGAUAGCUCAGGGGGCGAUUCAGGCUAUCAACUUGAACUUGGUUGACUUAUUUAAGAUGGGCUAUUUCCUGUCUAAAGAUUGACUAUCCCCAGCAGGGGCAAUCUCUUUGGGGACAGCAAACUUUUUAAAAUUACAAAGCAUCUUAAGAUAUACAGAAGAAUUUUUUUUAAAACUUAAUAAAUAUAGUAUAGUUCCGUAAUUAAUCUAUUCAAUAAAAUAAGUUCUGUUAUGAACUUCAUGAACAAAUCCAAAAAUGAAAGUAGAAAAAAAAACAUUUAAUUACUGGUAAACAGAGAAUUUAGCAAAGGAGAAAAAUUUUGCAAAUAUAGCAAAGCACAAAUAGAUGAGUAGUGCAAAAGGAGAUUAUUUUUGUAGACAAGUAGAUCAAUAAAAUCCUAGCAAUGAACCCAUCAGUUACUGAAGUUAUUAAAUUGCCCUUUUAUCAGUGUUCUCAUUACUUGGAAACAUUUUUUAAAUGAUAAUGUAUGUUGUGUCUCUGUGUGUGUACACAUAAUUCUUUUUUUUUUGAGUUAUUAUUGAAACUUUACUUUCUCCUCCUUAUUGAUAUGCAUACUUUAGAACAAUAGCAUAAUCUAUGAUUGCUUUUUUAUUUUUAAAUGUAGGGUGUUUUUUUUUUUUAAUCCCCAAGGAACAUGCAUAAAAGAGUGUUUCUCUCAUAAACUUAUAACACUAAAAAGCAUUUCAGAAGACCAGCUGACAUUACUGUCUUCUUUUAAAACAUAAGGAAUUUGGAGCAAAGGAAAAAUGAAGCAAGUUGCCUAUUAUGGUCUGAAUGUGAGGUAUCUCCCAAAAGUUCACAUGUGAGACAAUGCAAGAAAGUUCAGAGGAGAAAUGAUUAGUCCAUUAGAAAUGAUUUGGUUGUGAGAGUCUUAACGCAAUCAGUGAAUUAACCCUGGUUAGGGAUUAACUGAGUGGUAACUGAAGUGGUAGAGUGUGGCUGGGGGGAUCUGGUAAUUCGGGGCGUGGUUUUGGGGUAUAUAUUUGUAUCUGGCAAAUGAAGUCCUCUCUCUCUCUCUGCCUUUUGAUCAUCAUGUGAGCUGCUUUCUUCUGCCACACUCUUCUGCCAUGAUGUUCUGCCUCACCUCAAGCCUGGAGGAAUGGAGCUGGCCUUCUAUGGACUAAGUCCUUGAAAACUGUAGCAGUUGAGAUGUGGUACACAUAGAGUGACAUCUCUGGCUCUGAGAGGAAGAUAAAUUGGAGGAGAUCAUUCUCAUGUUUAACAGCUACUUGGGAAGCCAAGGCAAGAGGAUUGCUUGAGCCCCGGAGUUCCAGGUCAGGCUGGAUCAAAGCAGAUGGCAGGGUAAACUCUGUAAUGAUGAUUAACAAGAACUCUGUGACACUUACAUGGACCUGGCAAAGAGCAGAACAGAACACACCUCUUUUCUCCAAGCACAAUAAUCUGAACAGAUGAAAGUUCAAAGAUUCAAAAUUUUGUAACCAAGUGGACCUAUUCCUCUGGAUUUAUUGAAAAGGGCAGGAAAUACACCUAGAUGCCAUAGGAGACUGUGUAUGCUCUUUAAACAGGCAGCUGUCAGCCAAGGAAACUGAAAAAUGGAGACCAGGAUCGUAGGAAGAAACACACACACAGUGACUAGUGUGGGAAGAAAGCAAGAGAAGAGAGUUCAAGAAAGGAGAGCACCAAAUGAAAGGUCCCUGAAAAAGAAACUUAAUCUCCAUCAGUUCAGGACUUUCUUGCCCAAACCAGGACUAUGGCUGUGUUUGAAUAGUACCAAGCCACUGAGUGCUGUCGGCGUUACAACCAUUCCUCCUGGCUGGUAUCACUCCACAAAGGCCCCAGUGAUGGUUCUUCUCCCCUCUGGCCCUGAUUAUUCAGACCAGAAAGUUGCUUGUCCUGAAUUCUACUUACGAUGGAGCAAGAGGGAUCCGAUUUACUUUCCCAUCAAAACAACUAAAAAACAAGAAAAGAAACAAACAGUGGUUUUUAUGAUGUUGGAUGUCAGAAAAUGAUAGAAAAUGAUCCCUAAGAUUCAAGAAUAAAUGACAUGAACCUUGCAACUGUUCCACGUUAUAGCCUUGAGAGAGUUUUUAUGACACAGACCAGAAGAGGAAACCUAGACAAACUGCAUUGUCUUCCUGAGUUAAGGAAGUAGAGCUGAGGCUCAGGAAAGCCAAAAGGUCUGGAGUGAUGGAGUGAAGAAAGCUGCACAGAGAGAGAUCUCCAGAGAGCAACAGAAGGCCCCUUGAUACUUAGCAGAGUGCUAGGCAGAGGUUAUAGUUGAGGAAACUACCUGAUGCUAUCAAAAGAACCACUCAAAGGGAUAUUUCAUAGGGCUAGGAGUGGUUUCUAUUCCCAUCAGCCAGAUGUAUCCUUGAUGCAGUUUUUCCAUCUUUUGGUUUUGAUAAAAAUCUAGUCUAUAUUUUAUGAAAAUCUGAAUAUGCUUUUAUCUUAUUAACAUGGUGAAGGAGAUGAUUAUAGCACUUUAAGAAAAUAAAUAUAUAUUGUUCUUUAUAAUUCUUCUUUAUCUUCAUCCAUCUGUUUCACCUCUUAAAUUUUUUUUCUCUUUUAACUACUUAUUUUCCUUUACUUCCUCCUUUAUAAGGAUCCUUAAUAUCUCUUAUUUGCUAUGGUUUAUGUCUUGGCCAUUGAUUUAAACUGAAAUGUAAGAUAUUCCCAACCUAUAUUCUCCACACUUAACAAGUUCUUUGUGUCCAAGUGACAAAAAUAUGAAAUAGUGAUUCCAUUUUACUUACAAUCUUUAUCCUGUCUUGCAGAAGAAAGCCACAACAAUGCUUCAGUAGCAUAAUAGGAAUGGCUCUUGAAAAACUAAAGCCAGUGAAAUGUGUUUAAUCAGAUAGUAGGUAGGAUAUCUCAUGCCUGUUCUCAUUCAAAGAAAUAGUAAUUACUAAAGCCUAUGGAAGAAACAAAAUAAGGUGGUUUCUAUUAUUACAGACAGAAAAAAAUAUUGUAAACAUCCUUUCUGGAAUUUAUUUUCACAAAAAUCUUCAUAAUAUAUACUCAACGAAUCUCCCAAUCUUUUCCCCCAUUAUUCUCUUUCAGCUGGACACAGUGGUGGCACACCUAUAAUCCCAGUGAUUUGGGAGGCUGAAGGCAGGAGGAUCACAAAUUCAAAGCCAGCUUCAGCAACUUAGUGAGGCCCUUAGCAACCUAAUGAGACCCUGCCUGAAAAUCAAAGAUAAAAAGGACUCAGUGUUUAAGCUUCCCUGGGAUCAAUCCCAGUACAAUCAAUCAAUCGAUAUUUACAAAGGCCUAAUUCUCCUUCACUGUGCUUAAUACCCAUUGAUUAGUUGAAUAACCAAGUUCAAUUUUUACCUUUCUUGCAAGAUUUUUACCUUCCAGAUGAUUCAAUAAGAGCACAGGUCCUAUACCUGCCAGAGCAACAAAGGACACAUCCUUCUUACCAUACUUUAACCAAUUUGUCUCUAUUUCUAUCUUACUGUCUCAAAUGGUGCUCUAUAUUUCAUCUCUGGUUCAUUUCUGCCAAUCCUAGCUUUCUUUCCCAGAGACACCUUCAACUGUAUCAGACUCAUUCAUAUUUACAAUGCAGUAAUCCACAUGUUUAUGCAUUAUACUUCACAAAGUUGAUCUCAAGACCAGGACAACAAAUAGUGGAGAUAAAGAAGUCAUUGAUGAUUGGCAACAGGGAGACUAAGAAGGCAUGUGCUUGUGGUAGCCAUCAUGUCAUGUGAUCCUAGAGAAAAAGUUCGAACUAUUUGUAGUACCUUGUUUUGGGAGAACUUAUCCAUCUAGUGAAUAAAUCAAUCCCUUCAAAUCUUUAGUAAAAACAUGCUCACCAUGUGGACAUGAAAAGUGAAAAAGGUAUACCUCGAGCAAUUGCAUUUUUGUGCAAUUAAAAUUGAAAAUAAAAAUUUGAUCUUUUAAAAUAACAAAUUCAAGCAAGAACAAAGUUCAUUAGAGAUGGUUUUGAAAUUAACAUUAAGAAAUUUCAGUUGCUUUUAAACUUCUAAUGAUGAUUUUCACAGCAAUUUGGCUUAAAAAAUAUAACCAUUUGUUUUGACUCAUUUCCUCUGACUUAUAUUUUAUUUGGAGAUUUGUAAACUCUAAACAUUGUUCUGAAUUGUACUAUAAGAUGUAUAAUUGAUGAUGAC